rnacentral:rRNA from 1 species
GGUUAAGUUAGAAAGGGCGCACGGUGGAUGCCUUGGCACUAGGAGCCGAUGAAGGACGGGACGAACACCGAUAUGCUUCGGGGAGCUGUAAGCAAGCUUUGAUCCGGAGAUUUCCGAAUGGGGAAACCCACCACUCGUAAUGGAGUGGUAUCCAUAUCUGAAUUCAUAGGAUAUGAGAAGGCAGACCCGGGGAACUGAAACAUCUAAGUACCCGGAGGAAGAGAAAGCAAAUGCGAUUCCCUGAGUAGCGGCGAGCGAAACGGGAUUAGCCCAAACCAAGAGGCUUGCCUCUUGGGGUUGUAGGACACUCUGUACGGAGUUACAAAAGAACGAGGUAGAUGAAGAGGUCUGGAAAGGCCCGCCAUAGGAGGUAACAGCCCUGUAGUCAAAACUUCGUUCUCUCCUGAGUGGAUCCUGAGUACGGCGGAACACGUGAAAUUCCGUCGGAAUCCGGGAGGACCAUCUCCCAAGGCUAAAUACUCCCUAGUGACCGAUAGUGAACCAGUACCGUGAGGGAAAGGUGAAAAGCACCCCGGAAGGGGAGUGAAAGAGAUCCUGAAACCGUGUGCCUACAAGUAGUCAGAGCCCGUUAACGGGUGAUGGCGUGCCUUUUGUAGAAUGAACCGGCGAGUUACGAUCCCGUGCAAGGUUAAGCAGAAGAUGCGGAGCCGCAGCGAAAGCGAGUCUGAAUAGGGCGCAUGAGUACGUGGUCGUAGACCCGAAACCAGGUGAUCUACCCAUGUCCAGGGUGAAGUUCAGGUAACACUGAAUGGAGGCCCGAACCCACGCACGUUGAAAAGUGCGGGGAUGAGGUGUGGGUAGGGGUGAAAUGCCAAUCGAACCUGGAGAUAGCUGGUUCUCUCCGAAAUAGCUUUAGGGCUAGCCUCAAGGUAAGAGUCUUGGAGGUAGAGCACUGAUUGGACUAGGGGCCCCUACCGGGUUACCGAAUUCAGUCAAACUCCGAAUGCCAAUGACUUAUCCUUGGGAGUCAGACUGCGAGUGAUAAGAUCCGUAGUCGAAAGGGAAACAGCCCAGACCGCCAGCUAAGGUCCCAAAGUAUACGUUAAGUGGAAAAGGAUGUGGAGUUGCUUAGACAACCAGGAUGUUGGCUUAGAAGCAGCCACCAUUUAAAGAGUGCGUAAUAGCUCACUGGUCGAGUGACUCUGCGCCGAAAAUGUACCGGGGCUAAACGUAUCACCGAAGCUGCGGACUGUUCUUCGAACAGUGGUAGGAGAGCGUUCUAAGGGCUGUGAAGCCAGACCGGAAGGACUGGUGGAGCGCUUAGAAGUGAGAAUGCCGGUAUGAGUAGCGAAAGAGGGGUGAGAAUCCCCUCCACCGAAUGCCUAAGGUUUCCUGAGGAAGGCUCGUCCGCUCAGGGUUAGUCGGGACCUAAGCCGAGGCCGAAAGGCGUAGGCGAUGGACAACAGGUUGAUAUUCCUGUACCACCUCCUCACCAUUUGAGNNNNNNNNNNNNNNAAGGCUGAGCUGUGAUGGCGAGCGAAAUAUAGUAGCGAAGUUCCUGAUUCCACACUGCCAAGAAAAGCCUCUAGCGAGGUGAGAGGUGCCCGUACCGCAAACCGACACAGGUAGGCGAGGAGAGAAUCCUAAGGUGAUCGAGAGAACUCUCGUUAAGGAACUCGGCAAAAUGACCCCGUAACUUCGGGAGAAGGGGUGCUCUGUUAGGGUGCAAGCCCGAGAGAGCCGCAGUGAAUAGGCCCAGGCGACUGUUUAGCAAAAACACAGGUCUCUGCGAAGCCGUAAGGCGAAGUAUAGGGGCUGACGCCUGCCCGGUGCUGGAAGGUUAAGAGGAGCGCUUAGCGUAAGCGAAGGUGCGAAUUGAAGCCCCAGUAAACGGCGGCCGUAACUAUAACGGUCCUAAGGUAGCGAAAUUCCUUGUCGGGUAAGUUCCGACCCGCACGAAAGGCGCAACGAUCUGGGCACUGUCUCAACGAGAGACUCGGUGAAAUUAUAGUACCUGUGAAGAUGCAGGUUACCCGCGACAGGACGGAAAGACCCCGUGGAGCUUUACUGCAGCCUGAUAUUGAAUGUUGGUACAGCUUGUACAGGAUAGGUAGGAGCCUUGGAAACCGGAGCGCCAGCUUCGGUGGAGGCAUCGGUGGGAUACUACCCUGGCUGUAUUGACCUUCUAACCCGCCGCCCUUAUCGGGCGGGGAGACAGUGUCAGGUGGGCAGUUUGACUGGGGCGGUCGCCUCCUAAAAGGUAACGGAGGCGCCCAAAGGUUCCCUCAGAAUGGUUGGAAAUCAUUCGCAGAGUGUAAAGGCACAAGGGAGCUUGACUGCGAGACCUACAAGUCGAGCAGGGACGAAAGUCGGGCUUAGUGAUCCGGUGGUUCCGCAUGGAAGGGCCAUCGCUCAACGGAUAAAAGCUACCCCGGGGAUAACAGGCUUAUCUCCCCCAAGAGUCCACAUCGACGGGGAGGUUUGGCACCUCGAUGUCGGCUCAUCGCAUCCUGGGGCUGUAGUCGGUCCCAAGGGUUGGGCUGUUCGCCCAUUAAAGCGGUACGCGAGCUGGGUUCAGAACGUCGUGAGACAGUUCGGUCCCUAUCCGUCGCGGGCGCAGGAAAUUUGAGAGGAGCUGUCCUUAGUACGAGAGGACCGGGAUGGACGCACCGCUGGUGUACCAGUUGUUCUGCCAAGGGCAUCGCUGGGUAGCUAUGUGCGGACGGGAUAAGUGCUGAAAGCAUCUAAGCAUGAAGCCCCCCUCAAGAUGAGAUUUCCCAUUCCGCAAGGAAGUAAGAUCCCUGAAAGAUGAUCAGGUUGAUAGGUCUGAGGUGGAAGUGUGGCGACACAUGGAGCUGACAGAUACUAAUCGAUCGAGGACUUAACCAC